CCUACGGGAGGCAGCAGUGAGGCAUAUUGGUCAAUGGACGAGAGUCUGAACCAGCCAAGUAGCGUGAAGGAUGACUGCCCUAUGGGUUGUAAACUUCUUUUAUAUGGGAGUAAAAUGUUCCACGUGUGGGAGUUUGUAUGUACCAUAUGAAUAAGGAUCGGCUUACUCCGUGCCAGCAGCCGCGGUAAUACGGAGGAUCCGAGCGUUAUACGGAUUUGUUGGGUUUAAAGGGAGCGUAGGUGGAUUGUUAAGUCAGUUGUGAAAGUUUGCGGCUCAACCGUAAAAUUGCAGUUGAAACUGGCAGUCUUGAGUACAGUAGAGGUGGGCGGAAUGCGUGGUGUAGCGGUGAAAUGCUUAGAUAUCACGAAGAACUCCGAUUGCGAAGGCAGUUCACUGGACUGCAACUGACACUGAGGCUCGAAAGUGUGGGUAUCAAACAGGAUUAGAUACCCGAGUAGUC
rnacentral:rRNA from 1 species